AUUCAUAGUUAGCAAACUUUUUUUCUUAUGGCUAUAUCUUAUAUGAAUUAAUUUACUAGAAAUUUUUUUUUUUUCCUGUUCGAUGAAUGAAUUUUACUGUCCUUUUUUUUUGAAAUGGAUACCUCUGCAAACAACAUUUGUUCUUUAGCCAGAGAGUUAAACUGUCAGUAUCAAGACAGAGAGAUAGUAAUUAAUGCGAUUUAUUUAUUUUGUGCUAAAAGGUUCACGGUACGAACGAAAAAAAAAAAUACAUUGUGAUAUUGCAAGUUCCAUGAUUAACAAUCAAUUUAAAAAUAUUGUACAUUGUAUGCAAAAAAGAAAAAAAAAGGUGUAGGGUUAAGGCAUAUACAGUGUUGCAGGCCUUGAAGACGAGAGGACGGUGGCAGAAAUGGACCCCCUCCCUUCUUCUUUGCUUCUUCUUCUUUUAAUUUUUAGCCAAUGUUUUUAUUGGUUUCUUUUAUCAAAUUAUUCACUUUAGUUUGUAGUUAGUACGACGAAAAUUAAAAAUAAAGUAGAACGAACACUCAGGCCUGCACUAUUAUCUUAUCUACCA
rnacentral:lncRNA from 1 species